rnacentral:rRNA from 1 species
AUUGAACGCUGGCGGCAGGCCUAACACAUGCAAGUCGAGCGGUUGAAGGGAGCUUGCUCCUGGAUUCAGCGGCGGACGGGUGAGUAAUGCCUCGGAAUCUGCCUGGUAGUGGGGGAUAACGUCCGGAAACGGGCGCUCAUACCGCAUACGUCCUGAGGGAGAAAGUGAGGGUUCUUCGGACCUCACGCUAUCAGAUGAGCCUAGGUCGGAUUAGCUAGUUGGUGGGGUAAAGGCCUACCAAGGCGACGAUCCGUAACUGGUCUGAGAGGAUGAUCAGUCAAACUGGAACUGAGACACGGUCCAGACUCCUACGGGAGGCAGCAGGGGGGAAUAUUGGACAAUGGGCGAAAGCCUGAUCCAUCCAUGCCGCGUGUGUGAAGAAGGUCUUCGGAUUGUAAAGCACUUUAAGUUGGGAGGAAGGGCAGUAAGUUAAUACCUCGCUGUUUUGACGUUACCAACAGAAUAAGCACCGGCUAACUUCGUG